GAUGAACGCUAGCGGCAGGCCUAAUACAUGCAAGCCGGACGGCAAGUUGAGUAGCAAUACUUGACCUAGAGUGGCGUAAGGGUGCGUAACACGUAUGCAAUCUGCCCACAGCCGGGAGAUAGCCCUCCGAAAGGAGGAUUAAUAUCCCAUAGGAAGAUGAGAUGGCAUCAUUUUAUUUUUAAACUACGGGGCUGUGGAUGAGCAUGCGGUUGAUUAGCUAGUUGGCGGGUAAAGGCCCACCAAGGCGAUGAUCAAUAGGGGACCUGAGAGGGUGAUCCCCCACACUGGCACUGAGAUACGGGCCAGACUCCUACGGGAGGCAGCAGUAGGGAAUAUUGGACAAUGGGUGUAAGCCUGAUCCAGCCAUGCCGCGUGCAGGAAGAAGGCCUCUGGGUGUAAAGCUCUUUGGCGGGGACGAUGAUGACGUACCGCAGAAUAAGCCCCGGGCUAACUUCGUGCCAGCAGCCGCGGUAAU
rnacentral:rRNA from 1 species